rnacentral:misc_RNA from 1 species
GUUGGUGAACCAGCGGAGGGAUCAUUAUAGAGUUGUAAAACUCCCUAAACCCAUGUGAACAUACCUGUUGCCUCGGCGGGCCUACCCUAUAGUUACCCUGUAGCUACCCGGGAGUGACCGCCGAAGGACUACCAAACUCUUUUAUCUCUGUAUCUCUGAGUAAAAAAACAAAUAAGUUAAAACUUUCAACAACGGAUCUCUUGGUUCUG